rnacentral:rRNA from 1 species
CGAUAGCUAAUACCACAUAAGAGUAGAUGUUGCAUGACAUUUGCUUAAAAGGUGCAAUUGCAUCGCUACCAAAUGGACCUGCGUUGUAUUAGCUAGUUGGUGGGGUAACGGCUCACCAAGGCGACGAUACAUAGCCGACCUGAGAGGGUGAUCGGCCACACUGGGACUGAGACACGGCCCAG